rnacentral:rRNA from 1 species
CAUCGGUAUGGGAUGGGUCGCGUCCUAUCAGCUUGAUGGCGGGUAACGGCCCACCAUGGCUUCGACGGGUAGCCGGCCUGAGAGGGCGACCGGCCACAUUGGGACUGAGAUACGGCCCAGACUCCUACGGGAGGCAGCAGUGGGGAAUAUUGCACAAUGGGCGCAAGCCUGAUGCAGCGACGCCGCGUGCGGGAUGACGGCCUUCGGGUUGUAAACCGCUUUUGACUGGGAGCAAGCCCUUCGGGGUGAGUGUACCUUUCGAAUAAGCACCGGCUAACUACGUGCCAGCAGCCGCGGUAAUACGUAGGGUGCAAGCGUUAUCCGGAAUUAUUGGGCGUAAAGGGCUCGUAGGCGGUUCGUCGCGUCCGGUGUGAAAGUCCAUCGCUUAACGGUGGAUCCGCGCCGGGUACGGGCGG